rnacentral:misc_RNA from 1 species
CUCUCGCGACUGGAACGGUCGCUAAGACCCCAUAUGCCGAGAGGUGAAAUAGGUUUCUGCCUGAGGAUGAGCUCGCGUCUGAUUAGCUAGUUGGUGGGGUAAGAGCCCACCAAGGCGACGAUCAGUAUCUGGUCUGAGAGGAUGAUCAGCCACACUGGGACUGAGACACGGCCCAUACUCCUACGGGAGGCAGCAGUGGGGAAUUUUCCGCAAUGGGCGAAAGCCUGACGGAGCAAGACCGCGUGGGGGAAAAAGGUCUGUGGAUUGUAAACCCCUUUUGACCCGGAAUAAUUUGUGACCGUACCGGUUUAAUCCCCCUCAGCUAGCUUCUUGCCACCACCCACCGUAAUCCCGAGGAGGGUCUCGUUAUCUGGAAUUUUUGGGCGUAAAGCAUCAUUCCGUGGUUUUGCCUCUCAUCUGAUUCAGGGUGGGGUCUAACUCCCUAUGUGGCUUUUAAACUUCUCGGACAGGGUGGGGAUCGGGCCCUGGGUAUUCUCUUUGUACCCGUACAAUUCCUUCAGAUUGGAAAUAAUCCCCGUGCGGAAAACUGCUUUCCUGUCCGCAUAUGCAGUCGUAGAACCAAUUCCAGGGGAUAACGGGAAUAAAUCCCCGAUUAUCAACGCGUUACUCACCCGUCCGG